rnacentral:rRNA from 1 species
GAUGAACGCUGGCGGCGUGCUUAACACAUGCAAGUCGAACGGAAAGGCUCCUGCUUGCUGGGGUACUCGAGUGGCGAACGGGUGAGUAACACGUGGGUGAUCUGCCCUGCACUUCGGGAUAAGCCCGGGAAACUGGGUCUAAUACCGGAUAGGACGACGGUUUGGAUGCCAUUGUGGAAAGUUUUUUCGGUGUGGGAUGAGCUCGCGGCCUAUCAGCUUGUUGGUGGGGUAGUGGCCUACCAAGGCGUCGACGGGUAGCCGGCCUGAGAGGGUGUACGGCCACAUUGGGACUGAGAUACGGCCCAGACUCCUACGGGAGGCAGCAGUGGGGAAUAUUGCACAAUGGGCGGAAGCCUGAUGCAGCGACGCCGCGUGGGGGAUGACGGCCUUCGGGUUGUAAACUCCUUUCGCUAGGGACGAAGCGCAAGUGACGGUAACUGGAGAAGAAGCACCGGCUAACUACGUG